GAGCGCGCGACGACGCCUUGCACGCUUGUGCGCGGAGCCUCAGCUACUCGCCACACAUACAUCCAGCGCAUAAGACUACAUCUUGGAAUCCAUAAAUAUAUAGACAGGGGAAAGAGUUGGCGGCGUCCAUGGCGUCUCCGUCUUCCGUGCCGUCCUCGUCUCGGGUCAUUCCGCAUGAGCGAGUGCUGCAGUGUGUGUACGAGUUCCUGGACGAGAACGGCUACCAGCAAGCCCUGCGUGCACUGCAAGCGGAGUCGAAGGUACCGUAUAACGUCAUCCGUGUGAAGUCUGAUGGAGCCGGCGGCUCAGCUGGUGCUGCCCAGGCAUCUCUCUCGGGGAAGCGAAAUAGCGCGAAGGGGUUUGCGGCGGCAUCGGAGCGCAACUUGGAAGAGGCAGUGAUGGAGGGCAGCUGGGCGGAAGUGCUGCACGUGUACGUGGACGGGCUCCUGCUUCCGGAGGAGAUCAAGGCAACGCUGUACGAGGUUAUUCUCGAAGAGAUGGUGGAACUUCACGGUCUCGCACCGGCAGCCCGCUCGCUGCUGCUGAACGCGCCGGUCUUCCAGCUCAUGAAGGCGGACACUCCAGCGCGCUACAUCCGCCUCGAAAAGAUGGUUGAACACGGGCAGCGCACCAUGAGCGAGUGCACCCUCAGCAACGCAGCCACUCGCCAUGUCACGCCGGAAAUGCUUCACAGGAGAACAGCUCUGCUUCAGCAGCUGAAAACAGCGAUCCGCUUCACGUCGGAGGCCCCGAUCGGACGUUUGGCGGCUGCCCUGGCCCGCGCUGCCGCUGCUGACUUCGGCGGGGCGGACAGCCGUGAACGCAAGGCCGACUCCUCGUCUGCAGUGCCCCUUCCGAACGGCGGGCCAAGGCUGUCGGCUGAGGUCACGAGCGUGGCAGCGAGAUCGCGCAAACGCGAUCGGGAGCGGACGCUGCCUGGCGACGCCGCGUGGGCCGAUACCUUUCUUCAGUACCCUCUUGCAGCGCCGAAGGAAAUACGGCGGCGGUUGCCGUACGCGGGCGACCGCGCCGCGUGCUGCUGUGCCCCACUGUUGAGUGCGAGCGAGGAGCUGCUCAUCGUUGGCUGUGCCAACGGCGCAGUCGAGUUCGUUAGCGUGAAGGCAGGCGAGAGCAUUGGUAACCCGCUGCGGCACUCGGAUGGGGUGCUGUGCAUGACGCGAGACACCACGGACAGGGCGGCGCCGUCGCCAGACUGGCUCGCCGUCGGCUAUCGCGAUGGGUGGGUGAAGGUGUACAACAUUGACAGUCGCAAACUGGUGCGCCGCUUCGAGAAGGCGCAUACAAUGGGCAUCACGGCGGUCUUUUUUUCCGGCCCGCGAAACGCGGCAUCCCUGUUCGGCCACCGCUCCUUCAUUGUAACAGGCUCCUUCGAUGGCGGGGUUAAGGUGCUCGACAUCGCGACUGGGGCCGUGGUGCAGACGGUUGCUAACUGCCAUGCCAGCGCGUUUGUGCAUGCACUGGUUCCACUGGAGUGCCGAGGCACUGUCGUCGACACGCUGCGGUAUUGCUUCCUUAGCAGCGGCAAUGACGGGACUGUGUCUGUAUGGCGCCUGGAAGACAGGCGGGAGGAAGGGGCUGAGGUCGCCAGUAGGGUGGAAGUGCUGCGCGUGCAGGGGGCCGUUCCCCUUGGGCGGAUUCACCACGAACUGCGCGACGCCGUCCCUUCCCAGCUCUAUACACUCCCAUAUGUCGAGGAUGCGGCGCAUGGCGCAACUGCAACGAGCGACUCCACUAGUAUCCCCGCAACGACGACGCAAGACGCGCUUGUGCUCACUCGCGCCGGCAAGGCAUGUGUCGUCCGCGUCACCGUAACGGACGACGGCAACCGCUACUUCUGCGCCUCUCUUCAAGCGCUGUGCAUCAUCGCGACUGCACAGCCGCUGCGCUCUGCGUUUCCGCACGUGCACACGGUCGUCUCCAUGUCCGUCCCACUGCUCACCCUUUACGCCGCCGACUGCGAAGGCACCGUCAGUCUGCACAACAUCGAGAUGAAGUGGUACAACGACGAGCAGUGGUCUGAGUUUGGCGGUUGCAUGCGAGUAAGCAGCGCGGCUGACCAAAGCGCCGUGGUGAUUGUGGAGGCGGGGAAGUCCCUAAAAGACCUGCAGCUGACGUGCAUCUGGUCGUCGACACAGCACCAGCCGUCGAGUGUGGUAGCCUACAGCGCGUCUCUGCCAGCCAUCUACGACAUGCACUAGUGCGCGAAGUUGAGAACAGGCUGAGAUGAUGAUAGGGAAGGGGGAAGGAAAGGCGUGGGGCGCAUCCCCGCACGAGAGACACCAGAUGCGGCGGUCCGCCCCAGGCCCUCCCUCCCAACAAGGGGGAUGGCAGGCGCUCCUGGUGAUGCGUCACUGCAGAGAGGAGAGGGCGGACGAGAAAUGCGUCUCCAGGGCUACCGCUGCGCAGCUAAUGGUCGAUCUUGUUUUUGCAUCCCUAUGGGACUGACUCCUUUCACCGCUGAAUGGCCUUUGCUGUGUGGUGAUGCUGUGGAAUUGCUGACUGCGGCCACGCUGCCGGCUCGCGGAUGGUGGCAACCGUACUGAGGCACAACACGAAAAACAAAGCUGAGGCGCCACACGCACACACAGCACGUGUGUAAGAGAGGGAACGAAAACGCGGCUCUGUGCGUGUGCCGCGCGUGCUUGGGUGUGGUGUGCACAGUUGCUGCACUCUGUGUACGCUGUCUCCACUAUCUUUCCUCUAUGCACAG
rnacentral:misc_RNA from 1 species